GAUGAACGCUGGCGGCGUGCCUAAUACAUGCAAGUCGAGCGAACAGACGAGGAUCUUUCUCCUCUGCCGUUAGCGGCGGACGGGUGAGUCCCACGUGGAUAACCUACCUAUAAGACUGGGAUCACUUCGGGAAACCGGAUCUAAUACCGGAUCAUAUAUUGAACCGCAUGGUUCAAUAGUGAAAGACGGUUUUGCUGUCACUUAUAGAUGGAUCCGCGCCGCAUUAGCUAGUUGGUAAGGAAACGGCUUACCAAGGCAACGAUGCGUAGCCGACCUGAGAGGGUGAUCGGCCACACUGGAACUGAGACACGGUCCAGACUCCUACGGGAGGCAGCAGUAGGGAAUCUUCCGCAAUGGGCGAAAGCCUGACGGAGCAAUGCCGCGUGAGUGAUGAAGGUCUUCGGAUCGUAAAACUCUGUUAUUAGGGAAGAACAAAUGUGUAAGUAAAUAUGCACGUCUUGACGGUACCUAAUCAGAAAGCCACGGCUAACUACGUG
rnacentral:rRNA from 1 species